rnacentral:rRNA from 1 species
UUCAUUUAGUGGCGGACGGGUGGAGUAACACGUGGGUAACCGUGCCCUGUACCGGGGGAUAACACUUAGAAAUAGGUGAUAAUACCGCAUAAGCGCACACUGAGGCAUCUCAGAGUGUGAAAAAACUCCGGUGGUACAGGAUGGACCCGCGUCUGAUUAGCUUGUUGGCGGGGUAACGGCCCACCAAGGCGACGAUCAGUAGCCGGCCUGAGAGGGUGAACGGCCACAUUGGGACUGAGACACGGCCCAGACUCCUACGGGAGGCAGCAGUGGGGGAUAUUGCACAAUGGGGGAAACCCUGAUGCAGCCGACGCCGCGUGAGUGAUGAAGUAUUUCGGUAUGUAAAGCUCUAUCAGCAGGGAAGAUAAUGACGGUACCUGACUAAGAAGCCCCGGCUAACUACGUGCCAGCAGCCGC